rnacentral:rRNA from 1 species
GAAGAACAUCGCCUCACGGCGAUUCUCAUGAUGCAGCGCGCCGCAGGUCGAGCUCUCGCUCAAAGCUUCGCCAUGGCAACUCUCUCCUCUUCCCCGACGAUUGUGCGUCACUCACUCCGUCUCCACGAAGGCGGCAUGACGGGGUGUACGCGGCGCCGCGCUGGUGCCCGGAUGAUGUUCGACGAAAUGGCCGUGAGGGUCCUCGGGUGUGAGCGAGCCCGCACCAAUCAGGUCAGCGUGUUGUGCUGUCCCUGGUCUCCUAAGACUGCUGCCACUAAUUUUGAAUGCUCACGUUGGUUCUCUCUUGUUACAUAGUAGUACGUCUAGAAGCUGGUAGUUGCUGCCUGAUUUGGUUAGCACAUAUCCUGAUUAGCUCGCAAUUUUGCCACAAGAAGCCUUCCUGAAAAGAGAAGAGCAUGGUCAAGGAAAGUUGCUGAGCAAAGCAAAUGACUCCCAAGUCACCAUCAUCUUUCCACGGUGCAUGAAAAGAACAGCUGAGCUGCCCUUCCAGGACAUUCUUUCACAGGCUGGAGGCUGGAGGUGGAGUGGUUCACAACGCAACUGGUGAUAGAUAAGUUUCAGCACGUGUCCCUUUCCUGUUGGCAAUACAAAAUCACUCUUUGCAACGUCCGGAUAUUGACGUCCGGGACAGCAAACACCAGCAGUCUGCAAUUUCCACCAGCCUCCUGCCCUCUGCUCUGUUGGAUUCCUGGUUAGUUAGCACUCUUCGCUUGCAGGAACUCAAGAUGGAGCUCGCCAUAUCUGCAGUAGCAGGUGAAUUUGUGAGCCGAUUCGUCUCCUACCUCGCCGACAAGUACCGCUCGAGCCGCUGCACACAGUCGGGAGAGAAGCAGCUGAAGAGGCUGCAGCAGCUGCUCCUGAGAGCCCGCACGGUUGUCGAGGAGGCGGACGGGCGGUACAUCACCAACUCUGGGAUGCUGGCGCAGCUCACCAUGCUCGCGGACGGCAUGUACCGAGGCUACUGGGCGCUAGGGGCCUUUGGGUACAUGUCCCUUGAAGAGACAGAGACUAGUCCCAUGGAGGUUAGCAGCUCAUCUCCCCGCAAACGUCUUUGCACGGUUCAUGGCAGUGCUAGGAAGAACAAGGCCAUGUACUUUGCCGACCUGCAAAGUGUGGUUGAGAGCUUGGAGGACGUCGUCGCUGGCUUGACGGAGUUUGUGGUUCUUUUGGGUGGAUGCGACUGUAUGCUGCGUCGACCAUACGAUGCAUAUCUUUACAAUGACACCAUCAUGUUCGGACGCCACACCGAGAAGCAAAAGCUCCUGAACUUCAUGCUGCAGCACAGUUCAAGCUCGCCUGGUGGUACGCCGGCUGUUCUCCCGAUCAUCGGUGGUCCUGCGGUCGGGAAGAGGACUCUAGUGGCCCAUGUAUGCAAGGACGAGAGGAUCAGCUCAUACUUCUCUUCGAUUCUGCACUUGAAUGGAGACUCCUUCUGCCGAAUCGCAGACCGUGAUCGGAGCUUCUUGCGAGGGAAGAUACUGGUCGUUGUUGAGCUUGUCGCAGACGUCGACGAGAAGGAUUGGGCCGAGUUCUGCUCAACAUUGGCAAGCAUGGACAGUGGAAGCAAAGUGAUCAUCAUCAGCCGGCUUAGAAGUACAGAGCGAUUCGGGACAGUGCGGCCGAUCUUCCUCGACACCCUGUCAUACGAGGAGUUCAGCUACCUCUUCAAGACACUCGCAUUCGGGAGCGCAAACCCGGCGCAUCACCCGCAGCUGGCACGGAUUGCAGACGAAUUGGCCGAGGAGUUCCGGACGGAAUGUUCGCUCGUCGGCACAAACAUAUUUGCGGAUGUGAUGAGGAGGAAUCUGAACGUCCAUUUCUGGUUCGGCAUGCUGAGCAGGCUGAGGAGAUUUGCUGAGAGGAACGUCUCCAUGUUUGGGGAACACCCGAGGUUGCUCGUCGAGAGACGCCAUCAGAUAGACGUUACGGACUUCGUCUUGCAUCCGGCUGCUUCUCCGCUCCGCAUCGUGCCUUCCUGCACCAGUGGCAGCAGCCGCACUGAGGUUACAGCGGAGAGGGCAUCGCUGCCAAGGGUGAGGCUUGGAGAUCUUGUGAUGGAUCCUGGAGUCCGACCGCAAGGGGAUUUCAAUGUGGUUUCCUGGGAAUCAAGGUUGCCUCCUUUCACCUCAUUUGUUCAUUUCGUUCCAAAUAGAAAUGGUGCUCCAGGUUUGGCAAAACAGAGUCCUCCCCUGUCUGGGAGGAAGCGUCCAGCAGUUGCUUUGUAAGGCCUUCUGAUUAGAAUGAUUUUUACAGGGAUUCUGUAGAGUUGGAAUCUCUAGUACUCCCCAGUUCAUAGUUGAAUAGAAUUUAGAUAUUGACAGAGUCUCCCAUAUGUAUCUUUAACCUUUAUCUUUCAUCUUGGAAUUUUAUAUUGUGAAAAAAUUGAAAAUUUCAUUUUGUACAUAUCUG